rnacentral:tRNA from 1 species
UCCUUGGUGGUUCAGAUGGUAAAGAAUCUGCCUGCAAUGCAGGAGACCCAGGUUCGAUCCCUGGGUCAGGAA